rnacentral:rRNA from 1 species
UGGGGAAUAUUGCGCAAUGGGGGAAACCCUGACGCAGCGACGCCGCGUGCGGGAUGAAGGCCUUCGGGUUGUAAACCGCUUUUGAUUGGGAGCAAGCCUUUUGGGUGAGUGUACCUUUCGAAUAAGCGCCGGCUAACUACGUGCCAGCAGCCGCGGUAAUACGUAGGGCGCAAGCGUUAUCCGGAAUUAUUGGGCGUAAAGGGCUUGUAGGCGGUUGGCCGCGUCUGCCGUGAAAUCCUCUGGCUUAACUGGGGGCGUGCGGUGGGUACGGGUUGACUUGAGUGCGGUAGGGGAGACUGGAAUUCCUGGUGUAGCGGUGGAAUGCGCAGAUAUCAGGAGGAACACCGGUGGCGAAGGCGGGUCUCUGGGCCGUUACUGACGCUGAGGAGCGAAAGCGUGGGGAGCGAACAGG